UUUUUUUUGUAUCGUC
rnacentral:sRNA from 1 species